AGACGACUUUAAAUACGCGACGGGGUAUUGUAAGUGGCAGAGUGGCCUUGCUGCCUCGAUCCACUGAGAUUCAGCCCU
rnacentral:rRNA from 1 species